UACAGAGGGUGCGAGCGUUAAUCGGAAUUACUGGGCGUAAAGCGCACGUAGGCGGAUUGUUAAGUCGGGGGUGAAAUCCUGGAGCUCAACUCCAGAACUGCCUUCGAUACUGGCGAUCUCGAGUUCGGGAGAGGUGAGUGGAACUGCGAGUGUAGAGGUGAAAUUCGUAGAUAUUCGCAAGAACACCAGUGGCGAAGGCGGCUCACUGGCCCGAUACUGACGCUGAGGUGCGAAAGCGUGGGGAGCAAACAGG
rnacentral:rRNA from 1 species